rnacentral:rRNA from 1 species
GGCGAGGGGAGUGAAAAAGAACCUGAAACCGUGUACGUACAAGCAGUGGGAGCACAGGUUUACCUGUGUGACUGCGUACCUUUUGUAUAAUGGGUCAGCGACUUAUAUUCUGUAGCAAGGUUAACCGAAUAGGGGAGCCGGAGGGAAACCGAGUCUUAAUUGGGCGUUAAGUUGCAGGGUAUAGACCCGAAACCCGGUGAUCUAGCCAUGGGCAGGUUGAAGGUUGGGUAACACUAACUGGAGGACCGAACCGACUAAUGUUGAAAAAUUAGCGGAUGACCUGUGGCUGGGGGUGAAAGGCCAAUCAAACCGGGAGAUAGCUGGUUCUCCCCGAAAGCUAUUUAGGUAGCGCCUCGUGAAUUCAUCUCCGGGGGUAGAGCACUGUUUCGGCUAGGGGGCCAUCCCGGCUUACCAACCCGAUGCAAACUGCGAAUACCGGAGAAUGUUAUCACGGGAGACACACGGCGGGUGCUAACGUCCGUCGUGAAGAGGGAAACAACCCAGACCGCCAGCUAAGGUCCCAAAGUCAUGGUUAAGUGGGAAACGAUGUGGGAAGGCCCAGACAGCCAGGAUGUUGGCUUAGAAGCAGCCAUCAUUUAAAGAAAGCGUAAUAGCUCACUGGUCGAGUCGGCCUGCGCGGAAGAUGUAACGGGGCUAAACCAUGCACCGAAGCUGCGGCAGCGAACGUAUCACCCAAGACAACUUUACGGAGUUGACGAUUGACGGAGCGAAGCGACGUCAAAGCGUUCAUUAAAGUCGAGUUGGCUUAGGGAUACGUUCGUUGGGUAGGGGAGCGUUCUGUAAGCCUGUGAAGGUGUGUCGUGAGGCAUGCUGGAGGUAUCAGAAGUGCGAAUGCUGACAUAAGUAACGAUAAAGCGGGUGAAAAGCCCGCUCGCCGGAAGACCAAGGGUUCCUGUCCAACGUUAAUCGGGGCAGGGUGAGUCGACCCCUAAGGC